rnacentral:rRNA from 1 species
GACGAACGCUGGCGGCGUGCUUAACACAUGCAAGUCGAACGGAAAGGCCCUGCUUUUGUGGGGUGCUCGAGUGGCGAACGGGUGAGUAACACGUGAGUAACCUGCCCCUGACUUUGGGAUAACUUCAGGAAACUGGGGCUAAUAUCGGAUAGGAGCUCCUGCUGCAUGGUGGGGGUUGGAAAGAUUCGGCGGUUGGGGAUGGACUCGCGGCUUAUCGGCUUGUUGGUGGGGUAGUGGCUUACCAAGGCUUUGACGGGUAGCCGGCCUGGGAGGGUGACCGGCCACAUUGGGACUGAGAUACGGACCAGACUCCUACGGGAGGCAGCAGUGGGGAAUAUUGCACAAUGGGCGGAAGCCUGAUGCAGCAACGCCGCGUGCGGGAUGACGGCCUUCGGGUUGUAAACCGCUUUCGCCUGUGACGAAGCGUGAGUGACGGUAAUGGGUAAAGAAGCACCGGCUAACUACGUG